AACGAACGCUGGCGGCAUGCCUAACACAUGCAAGUCGAACGAGACCUUCGGGUCUAGUGGCGCACGGGUGCGUAACGCGUGGGAAUCUGCCCUUGGGUUCGGAAUAACAGUUGGAAACGACUGCUAAUACCGGAUGAUGACGUAAGUCCAAAGAUUUAUCGACCAAGGAUGAGCCGGCGUAGGAUUAGCUAGUUGGUGAGGUAAAGGCUCACCAAGGCGACGAUCCUUAGCUGGUCUGAGAGGAUGAUCAGCCACACUGGGACUGAGAACCGGCCCAGACUCUUACGGGAGGGAGGAGAGGGGAAUAUUGGACAGUGGGGGAAGGCAUGAAGGAGCAAGGCCGGGAAAGUGAUGAAGGUCUGGGGGUUGGAAAGCUCUUUUACCCGUGAUGAUAUUGACGGUACCGGGAGAAUAAGCACCGGCUAACUCCGUG
rnacentral:rRNA from 1 species